CGAACGGGGAGCAGCCCAGAGCCUGAAUCAGUAUGUGUGUUAGUGGAAGCGUCUGGAAAGGCGCGCGAUACAGGGUGACAGCCCCGUACACAAAAAUGCACAUGCUGUGAGCUCGAUGAGUAGGGCGGGACACGUGGUAUCCUGUCUGAAUAUGGGGGGACCAUCCUCCAAGGCUAAAUACUCCUGACUGACCGAUAGUGAACCAGUACCGUGAGGGAAAGGCGAAAAGAACCCCGGCGAGGGGAGUGAAAAAGAACCUGAAACCGUGUACGUACAAGCAGUGGGAGCACGCUUAGGCGUGUGACUGCGUACCUUUUGUAUAAUGGGUCAGCGACUUAUAUUCUGUAGCAAGGUUAACCGAAUAGGGGAGCCGAAGGGAAACCGAGUCUUAACUGGGCGUUAAGUUGCAGGGUAUAGACCCGAAACCCGGUGAUCUAGCCAUGGGCAGGUUGAAGGUUGGGUAACACUAACUGGAGGACCGAACCGACUAAUGUUGAAAAAUUAGCGGAUGACUUGUGGCUGGGGGUGAAAGGCCAAUCAAACCGGGAGAUAGCUGGUUCUCCCCGAAAGCUAUUUAGGUAGCGCCUCGUGAAUUCAUCUCCGGGGGUAGAGCACUGUUUCGGCAAGGGGGUCAUCCCGACUUACCAACCCGAUGCAAACUGCGAAUACCGGAGAAUGUUAUCACGGGAGACACACGGCGGGUGCUAACGUCCGUCGUGAAGAGGGAAACAACCCAGACCGCCAGCUAAGGUCCCAAAGUCAUGGUUAAGUGGGAAACGAUGUGGGAAGGCCCAGACAGCCAGGAUGUUGGCUUAGAAGCAGCCAUCAUUUAAAGAAAGCGUAAUAGCUCACUGGUCGAGUCGGCCUGCGCGGAAGAUGUAACGGGGCUAAACCAUGCACCGAAGCUGCGGCAGCGACGCUGAUGCGUUGUUGGGUA
rnacentral:rRNA from 1 species